rnacentral:rRNA from 1 species
AACGAACGCUGGCGGCAUGCCUAACACAUGCAAGUCGAACGAAGGCUUCGGCCUUAGUGGCGCACGGGUGCGUAACGCGUGGGAAUCUGCCCUUUGGUUCGGAAUAACAGCUGGAAACGGCUGCUAAUACCGGAUGAUGACGAAAGUCCAAAGAUUUAUCGCCAGAGGAUGAGCCCGCGUUGGAUUAGGUAGUUGGUGGGGCAAAGGCCUACCAAGCCGACGAUCCAUAGCUGGUCUGAGAGGAUGAUCAGCCACACUGGGACUGAGACACGGCCCAGACUCCUACGGGAGGCAGCAGUGGGGAAUAUUGGACAAUGGGCGCAAGCCUGAUCCAGCAAUGCCGCGUGAGUGAUGAAGGCCCUAGGGUUGUAAAGCUCUUUUACCCGGGAAGAUAAUGACUGUACCGGGAGAAUAAGCCCCGGCUAACUCCGUG